rnacentral:rRNA from 1 species
AUUGAACGCUGGCGGAAUGCUUUACACAUGCAAGUCGAACGGUAGAGGGGGCAACCCCUUGAGAGCGGCGAACGGGUGAGUAAUAUAUCGGAACGUGCCCAGUCGUGGGGGAUAACGUAGUGAAAAUUACGCUAAUACCGCAUACGAUCUCAGGCUGAAAGCGGGGGAUCGCAAGACCUCGGCCGAUUGGGGCGGCCGAUAUCAGAUUAGGUAGUUGGUGGGGUAAAGGCCCACCAAGCCAACGAUCUGUAGCUGGUCUGAGAGGACGACCAGCCACACUGGAACUGACACACGGUCCAGACUCCUACGGGAGGCAGCAGUGGGGAAUUUUGGACAAUGGGCGAAAGCCUGAUCCAGCCAUUCCGCGUGCAGGAUGAAGGCCCUCGGGUUGUAAACUGCUUUUGUACAGAACGAAAAGGUUUCUACUAAUACUAGGAGCUCAUGACGGUACUGUAAGAAUAAGCACCGGCUAACUACGUGCCAGCAGCCGCCGUAA